rnacentral:rRNA from 1 species
ACUCAAAGGAAUUGACGGGGGCCCGCACAAGCGGUGGAGCAUGUGGUUUAAUUCGAAGCAACGCGAAGAACCUUACCAGGUCUUGACAUCCUCUGAUACCCCUAGAGAUAGGGCAUUCCCUUCGGGGACAGAGUGACAGGUGGUGCAUGGUUGUCGUCAGCUCGUGUCGUGAGAUGUUGGGUUAAGUCCCGUAACGAGCGCAACCCUUGAUCUUAGUUGCCAGCAUUGAGUUGGGCACUCUAAGGUGACUGCCGGUGACAAACCGGAGGAAGGUGGGGAUGACGUCAAAUCAUCAUGCCCCUUAUGACCUGGGCUACACACGUGCUACAAUGGAUGGAACAAAGGGCAGCGAAACCGCGAGGUGGAGCGAAUCCCACAAAACCAUUCUCAGUUCGGAUUGUAGGCUGCAAUUCGCCUACAUGAAGCCGGAAUCGCUAGUAAUCGUGGAUCAGCAUGCCACGGUGAAUACGUUCCCGGGCCUUGUACACACCGCCCGU